CAAGCUGAGACUCCAUGGACCAGCAAGUAGCAACUAGAAAACAAUUGUGUGUGAGGAUUCUCUCUUGAUUGUUUAAUCAAGAGUGGCUGCAGACAUGUUCUGGGCAGCUGGAGAUGCUGCAGCAGCCUACAAGGAUUAGCCACUGUUACUGAGCUACUGAAUAAGAGCUCACUCCUGAAGCAGGGAGGUGGACCACGGCACUCUUCUCAGCUAUCUUCCCGUGCUUCUGCUCCCUCCCCAGGGAGACCUAACUCCCCGUUAAACACUCAACUCCCUCUCCUCUUCCUUCUGGAGCUAGCAAGCUGAGGAGACAUCAGAAUAGCUAUGCAAAUGACCUUCAUGUCUGAGGCUCUGAGGAUCCAUGUUCCACAACCAGCACCGCCAAAAAGCA